CAGCAGCCGCGGUAAUACAGAGGGUGCGAGCGUUAAUCGGAUUUACUGGGCGUAAAGCGUGCGUAGGCGGCUGAUUAAGUCGGAUGUGAAAUCCCUGAGCUUAACUUAGGAAUUGCAUUCGAUACUGGUCAGCUAGAGUAUGGGAGAGGAUGGUAGAAUUCCAGGUGUAGCGGUGAAAUGCGUAGAGAUCUGGAGGAAUACCGAUGGCGAAGGCAGCCAUCUGGCCUAAUACUGACGCUGAGGUACGAAAGCAUGGGGAGCAAACAGGAUUAGAUACCCUGGUAGUCCAUGCCGUAAACGAUGUCUACUAGCCGUUGGGGCCUUUGAGGCUUUAGUGGCGCAGCUAACGCGAUAAGUAGACCGCCUGGGGAGUACGGUCGCAAGACUAAAACUCAAAUGAAUUGACGGGGGCCCGCACAAGCGGUGGAGCAUGUGGUUUAAUUCGAUGCAACGCGAAGAACCUUACCUGGCCUUGACAUAGUAGAAACUUUCCAGAGAUGGAUUGGUGCCUUCGGGAAUCUACAUACAGGUGCUGCAUGGCUGUCGUCAGCUCGUGUCGUGAGAUGUUGGGUUAAGUCCCGCAACGAGCGCAACCCUUUUCCUUACUUGCCAGCAUUUCGGAUGGGAACUUUAAGGAUACUGCCAGUGACAAACUGGAGGAAGGCGGGGACGACGUCAAGUCAUCAUGGCCCUUACGGCCAGGGCUACACACGUGCUACAAUGGUCGGUACAAAGGGUUGCUACCUAGCGAUAGGAUGCUAAUCUCAAAAAGCCGAUCGUAGUCCGGAUUGGAGUCUGCAACUCGACUCCAUGAAGUCGGAAUCGCUAGUAAUCGCGGAUCAGAAUGCCGCGGUGAAUACGUUCCCGGGCCUUGUACACACCGCCCGUCACACCAUGGGAGUUUGUUGCACCAGAAGUAGGUAGUCUAACCUUAGGGGGGACGCUUACCACGGUGUGGCCGAUGACUGGGGUGAAGUCGUAACAAGGUAGCCGU
rnacentral:rRNA from 1 species